GGAGGGUGCAAGCGUUAUCCGGAUUCACUGGGUUUAAAGGGAGCGUAGGUGGGCUUGUAAGUCAGUGGUGAAAUCUCCGUGCUUAACAUGGAAACUGCCAUUGAUACUAUAGGUCUUGAAUUAUCUGGAGGUUAGCGGAAUAUGUCAUGUAGCGGUGAAAUGCUUAGAUAUGACAUAGAACACCAAUUGCGAAGGCAGCUGGCUACGCAUAUAUUGACACUGAGGCACGAAAGCGUGGGGAUCAAACAGGAUUAGAUACCCUGGUAGUCCACGCCCUAAACUAUGAUACUCGACAUCAGCGAUACACUGUUGGUGUCUGAGCGAAAGCAUUAAGUAUCCCACCUGGGAAGUACGAUCGCAAGAUUG
rnacentral:rRNA from 1 species